GAUGAACGCUGACAAAAUGCUUAACACAUGCAAGUCAACUUGAAUUUGGGUUUUUAACUUAGGUUUGGGUGGCGGACGGGUGAGUAACGCGUAAAGAACUUGCCUCACAGCUAGGGACAACAUUUGGAAACGAAUGCUAAUACCUAAUAUUAUGAUAAUAGGGCAUCCUAUAAUUAUGAAAGCUAUAAGCGCUGUGAGAGAGCUUUGCGUCCCAUUAGCUAGUUGGAGAGGUAACGGCUCACCAAGGCGAUGAUGGGUAGCCGGCCUGAGAGGGUGAUCGGCCACAAGGGGACUGAGACACGGCCCUUACUCCUACGGGAGGCAGCAGUGGGGAAUAUUGGACAAUGGACCGAGAGUCUGAUCCAGCAAUUCUGUGUGCACGAUGAAGUUUUUCGGAAUGUAAAGUGCUUUCAGUUGGGAAGAAACAAAUGACGGUACCAACAGAAGAAGUGACGGCUAAAUACGUG
rnacentral:rRNA from 1 species